rnacentral:lncRNA from 1 species
CCCAACUGUACUAUGUUCCCAGAUAAAGUUUCUCUAUUUUCAAUGCGAAGUGACUAAUUGUAUCUCUUCCUGUCUUCCCAAUAGAUGGUGUGUCUGUUGGAAGCAGGAGUUCCCCGGUCCACUGUACACCUGAACAGUGUACACUGGUGUCCAUUGUCGAUGGUGCUCAGGCAUGGACUAAGCAGAACUUCCUCCCAAGAUGGAGAAACCACAAGGUAAGUUCUCCUUUCCAAAUAAGCCCAUUCAUCUGCUUCUCCAAAUCCGAGCAUAGCAGAGAUGUGUGAAGCUCAGUAGGUACUGGCUUUAUCAUUGACAGCAGUUUUUCAAUGAACAUAUUUGCUUUUGUGGGGAACAAGUGUGAUUGGCAGGAAAAUCAAACUGUUAUGUGAUUGAUUAAUGCUUGCUUGCUUGAUUGAUUGAUGAUUGGUUGAUUGAUUGAUGGGGUCUUGCUAUGUAACUAACUAGAUUUGAAUUCUCAUAGUCCUGCAUCAGCAGCCAGUGUCCUGGGACUAUAGUCACCACACCCAACUAGAUUGUGUAGACUUAGUUAAGCAUCCGGAAAGUUUGUUAGGCUCUAACUCCAAUGACUGCUGUUCUAAAAGUGGGAGAGGUUUAAGACACAGAGAAGUGGGGACAGAAGAGAAGACCAUGGGAAGACAGAGGCCAUGUUGGGAGUCCUGUGUCUAUACACCAAGGAACAGAUUGUAGGCCCCAGUGGCUUUUGAGACCACAGAAAGUCCUCCUUUGCAGGACUUGUGGGGCGAGGGGGUCACAGUCUUACUGACAUUGUCAUUUCCAGAAUGAUGAGCACAUGUGUCAACACGUGUGUCUGUCAUUGUGUGUCGUGCACAUUCUCAUCACCACAGCCCUGAGGAUACACACAGCUGGGUUCAGAUUCAUGACACCAUGAAAAUCUACUCAGUCCUCCAGUUCCUGUUGCCAUAGCAAUUUUUGUUUUUGUUUGUUUUUUUUUUUUUUUUUUGUUUCAAGACACAGUGGCCCAGGUUGGCCUAGAACUCACUAUGUAGCCUAUGCUGGCCUCAAAUUCACAACACUCUUCUUGCUUGUCUCCUGAAUGCUGGGAUUGCAGGGCUUGUUCAUCAUGUCUGGUUUAUGUAGUACUGGAAAUAGAAGGCAGGGUUCCAUGCACACUAGGCAGGUGCUCUGCUAGAGUAGUGGAUCAAUCGCAGUGACUGCAUCUGGGGAGUAGUGGAUCAAUCGCAGUGACUGCAUCUGGGGAGUAGUGGAUCAAUCGCAGUGACUGCAUCUGGAGAGUAGUGGAUCAAUCGCAGUGACUGCAUCUGGGGUACACUGAAGCUGUCUGGGGACAUUUCCAGUUAACACCACUGAGAAUGAUCAGGCUCCAGCAGGUGAGGCAAGGGACGCUGAUAAGCAUCUUGAUGUGCAAAGAUGUUGCUUACAAUGAGCUAGCAUCUGGCCCAAAUGUGGGAAAGUACAAAGGCUUAAAGUAGACUGAAGUCUCCACGUGCAGGGGAUCUGUGAAGCUUUGCUGCCUGCUGCCAGUUGGUGCUAAUUACUUGUGUGUCACUGUAAGGGGAACCUUGAGGGAAAUUGUGUGGGAAGAAAGCUGUUCUUUGGCUCUUCAUUUCAGAGGGCCUCAAUCCAGUCCUGCAUUGAAGUUAGCCUGAGUGCCCCCUGCUGUGACCUCAUACUCCAGGCACCUGGGACUGGGGUGGUCAGAUCAGGGAUAAGAUGGCCAGUUCUGUCUGAUUUUGACUUUCAGAAAAGUGAAUGAAGAGUUAUCUAGUGCAGGUGUGUCCCACACCAGUGAAGGACAUCUGUGCUGUUACUCGGUAGGAUCUAGCAGUCGCAUCCCAAAGCAAUUAAGUUACUAACCAGAGUACUGGGCAGUCACCUGAAACACAUUCUUAUCCUUAGAAAUCUUCCAAGCGAACCCCCCAGACAACUCUGGUUACUGAUAGCUGUCCAUAGACUGAUAGGCAGUCUCCCUUGCUGAAGACAACACCUACAUAACUCACUGAACACGGAGAGGUCAUGCUGGUGCCUUUGGCCCUGCAGACUAGUGUCCGUGGUUCUGGGAGGUACUCUGCAUGCUAUCAGAGGAGAAAGGUGAACACCAACCCAGAUACAAAUCUUUUUAUCUGCAAUGGUGACCUUCCUGCAUGAGAUGCUGGGGCAAUGGCGGCACUAAGGUUGUAGAAGUAACCCACACUCUCUGGAUUUAAAGAACUGCAUGGGAUAGAGCCCAUGCCUCACGCUGACUUGGUGGCCAGGAACCUGAGACUACAUAAACCAUGACCUAGGGGGAAACUAUUGUUCUGCUCAAGGGCUAUAGCAAUACAACAAUUCCCAAUGUCACUCUGCUGUACUCACAGAUCAGCACCUUGCUCAGCCAUCAUCAGAGAAGCUUCCCUCUUUAGUAGAUGGGAAUAAAUACAGAGACUCAACAACUGGACAUUGUGCAGAUAGUGAAAGACAUUGGAACACUCAGCCCUAAAUGGUAACAGGAACUAUGCAGAUGAGGAGGUGGAGCCAGAGGGGAUGGAGGGCUCCAAGGGAACAGUGCCUUCCAGGCCCAACAGAACUGAUGCACAUAUGAGCUGACAGACUGUGGCAGCGCACAGGGCCUAUGCAGGUCCAAACCAGAUGGUUCUCAGUACUGAGGUGGGGGAAGGAGACAUAAGCUCUCAUCCCUAACCCAAAGCUAUAACUAACAACUGCCUAUGAAGGAAAAAAUUAAUUUCUCCAAGAGUAUCUUACUGGAUAUACAAAUACAAUUAAGGGCAGGUCCCAUGCUCAGGAAAACAUGGUGAACACCACAAGUAAACUCUGUGUGUGUGUGUGUGUGUGUGUGUGUGUGUGUGUGUGUGAGAGAGAGAGAGAGAGAGAGAGAGAGAGAGAGAGAGAAGUCAUGGAUAGCCCUGGUGUUGUUUGUAUUUUGAUGCUAAUUCCGAUUCCCUAAGAGGGGCUGCCUAGGAGGAGGAGUGAAUCACCUACUCAGGUGACUUCAUGUGACCAUUCUAAUGAAUAAAGAUUUCAAGGAAACCAUUCCCUGGACGGGUAGGCGGGUCUUCCAGGUCAGACGGGCAUGGCGGGGGUGGGGUGGGGCAAAAGAGGAGAGGAGAGUGGGCUGGAGGACAGGAGCAUAAAGACGAAAAUGUAGGUAGUGAAUCCCCGCUCCCCCACCCCCUGUUUCAGGUGGCAGAUCUGUUUGGGUCAGCUACCAGAGGAUUUAACUUAGAAUGGCUGAUAAAUUAGGAUGUUAAUUGUUGUGCCCAGUGAUUGAGUUACCGUUGAUUCUGAACUAAGUUUGUGUGGUGUUUUCUUUCACUUGGCGGCUCAACUGGGUUCCGGAGAGAAAAGGUACAGUGAUGUGGAAUCCCAGCCAGCCACAGGAAUUUGGAAGUGUGGAGCUGGCAUGGCAGCUUAACAAGCAGGGUGGAGAGCUCCAGGACAGAGAGUCUGCUGAGAAGAACAAGGCCCGCCAGUGCCUUGCUGGCAAUAGCAUGGAUAGUUUCUUUUUACAUUUCCUGCUGUGUGUAUGUGUGUGUGUCUAUGUGAGUGUCUCUGUCUGUGUCUAUGCAUGUGUCUGUAUGUCUUGUGCUCUUUUUUAGUUUCUUUUUUGUUUAUGUGUCUUCGUUUUGUUUUAACCUUGAAUGCUUGUCUUUUUUAUAUGCCUAUUUUUUUUUAAGAGAGAAAGAAGGUGUGGGGUUGAAAGGGUGGAGAGGUGGAAAGGAUCUGGGAGGAGACAAGGGAAGGGAAAACCAUGGCCAGAAUAUAUCACAUGAAAGUAACUUUAUUUUCAAUUAAAAAAAGAAAUUUCCCAUUAUGGUUAUGAGGUAGCAAUGAACACUACGGUUGGGGGUCAGCACAUGAGGAACUUUGUUAAAAGACUGCAGCAUUAGAAGGGUUGAGAACCACUGUCCUAUGAACUUCUGGCUGUCCUCAUGUUCCUCCACCCUGAGAAAUCGCAAUACUGCUGUAUUUACUGUCGCCUGCAAACCCUCCCUAAGGGUUGGUGAGAUGGCUCAGUGAGUGGGUUCUUCUAUCUUCCACCCUUCUUCACUCCUUCCCCACCCUUUCAACCUCCAACACUAAAUAGGAAAGAAAAAGAAUAGAGAGG